GCCCCUUCUCACCAGGUUGCCAUGACGCUCAUUAAGUCUGGCGUACGCACUCCAACCCACAGCCGCGGCCACUGCACAGCAGCCGAGAGCGCGUACCGGUGGCCUUACUGAAAACGAUGAAUGACCAUCAUCAUCAUACAGUUGGAGGCUACAAUCCAGGAAAAAGACACAGCCUGCGAGUCCUUUUGUUGUGCGAAAAGCGAGAAAAAGGAAGAGCAACUGUCAUGACAGGGGAGACUUAAGGAGAAAUGUUGCAGCCACUGAAAGCAUUCCCAGGCUUUUGUUUGCAGUUCCUCCACAUGACUGGGGACUCAAAUGUUCAGAAGCAUUGAUAUGAAGAGUCUGAGCUCACGAGGACAGAGCUGAUGUCUUUCCCAGGUGGCAGGCAGCCAGGCCCACUGGGCACCAAGCAAACACCCUGGGAAUGUGUGCCCCUGCUACUUAUUACCCACAUCAAAUGUCAGCCUUGCUGCCAAGCUGCCGUGUCCCGUUACCUCAGCCCUGGAUUCCUGCGUCUCAAUCCACAAGUCAAGGUUACGUCCAGUGCUCCCCCCACCCCUCGCCCCUGUUCCCGAGUUGAUAAGGGAGCAAAGACAAAAAGGAACACAGUGUAAGGGAGGUUGCAACGCAGACUGAGUCAACCCUGCAUGGUUUAAUGAUCCAACAAACCAAUGAAGUCCACACAGAUCACCGCUAGACAAACUUGCCAGAGAGACCGAUGCCAAGAACAUGAGUAGGGUACAGCCCUUGUCUCCUUGUGCUCUUUUUAUGCGCAGAAAGGAGUGGAUGGACUAAAUCAGUGAACUGAACAAGUGCUCUCAGUAGUGCUUUCUGGAACCAAGAUAAUCUUACUUUGAUCUCCACAGUUUAUGAGAGCUAUUGAACACUGCUGGGCAUGUACAGUGCACAACAUAAGUGGUGGCUGAAUGGAAAUUGUUAUCUUGUUCAAUGUUUUUAUUCAGUGUUUGAUGUUAUUGUCUUCUUAAUCCAACAUUUUCUCACAUAUUUUUGAAGAAA